rnacentral:rRNA from 1 species
CAAAAAUGAUAUUAUCUCUUAUUAUUAAUUUAAUUCUGGUUAUAAAUUUAGUUAAUUUAUGAUUUAUAUGAUUAUUGUAUAAAGUUAUGUUUAUUCAGUAAAUGAUUUUAUUUAUGUGAAAUACAUUAAAUUGUUUAAAGUUAUUAAGUUUGCCAAAAUUGUGCCAGCAGCAGCGGUUAUACAAUUAAAUUCUAAAGAAUUAAAAUUUUAUGACGAUAGAUUAUAAAUAUUAUAGAGGUAAAAUUCAAUAUAGAAGGUCUAAAACUAUCUAUUUAAAGACUUUAAGUAAAACAAGGAUUAGAUACCCUUUUAUUUAUGUUCAAUAUAUAGAUUGGAGAGUACGAGCUAUAGCUUAAAAACCAAAGGAUAUGGCGGUAUCUUAAUUUAUCAGGGUGGCUUGUAAUUUAAUUUGAUAAUCCACGGUAUUAUAACCUUAUUUUGAAAUAUUCAGCAUGUGUACUGCCGUUUAAUAUAAUUUUAUAAAAUUAUAUAAUAUAUAUAUAUAUAUAUAUAUAUAUAUAUAUAUAUAUAUAUAUAUAUAUAUAUAUAUAUAUAUAUAUAUAUAUAUAGUCAGGUCGAAGUGCAGUCUAUAGUAAUGGUAUAUAUGAGCUACAUUUAUUUAAACAUUCAUUUUUUUUAGUGAAAUUGAAAAAUAGAAGAACUUGAUAGUAAUUAUAAUUUAUUAAUUAUAAUGAAAAUAUAAGCUAAGAUAUGUACAAAUCGCCCGUCACUCCUUUAUAAAGGAUAAGUCGUAACAUAGUAGAUGUAAUGGAAAUUGUAUCU